rnacentral:rRNA from 1 species
AUUGAACGCUGGCGGCAGGCCUAACACAUGCAAGUCGAACGAGUGGCGGACGGGUGAGUAAUGUCUGGGAAACUGCCCGAUGGAGGGGGAUAACUACUGGAAACGGUAGCUAAUACCGCAUACCAUCGGAUGUGCCCAGAUGGGAUUAGCUUGUAGGUGAGGUAACGGCUCACCUAGGCGACGAUCCCUAGCUGGUCUGAGAGGAUGAACAGACACACUGUAAAUGAGACACGGUCCAGAAUCGUACGGGAGGACGCAGUGGGGAAUAGUGUGCAAUGGGCGCAAGCCUUAUGCAGCAAUGCCGCGUGUAUGAAGAAGGCCUUCGUGUUGUAAAGUACUUUCAGCGGGGAGGCGUUACUCGCAGAAGAAGCAUCGGCUAACUCCGGGCCAGCAGACGCGGUAAUAC